AAUCUCAACAGAGUUGGAAUGUGUCAAAAAUCGCAGGUGCAUUUAUGUGACGUGGUUCGCAACAUGUUUUAAUGACGUUGCAAUUUUCAUUAAAAAUAAAAGUGGUUAAAGAUUCAAAAUGCACAUAGGUUCAUAAUUGUAUAAAAUCAGGUAAAUCAAGCCAAAUGUAACAGUUGAGCUACCGUGCUAGAACCAUGGAACUCGGGAGUGCCUAACACCUUCUCCCGGGUUAACAGAAUUCCUUACCCGGAUUUCUUGUUCGCGGACUAUUAAACAGAGUCGUUCUUUCCUAAAUCCGAGAUUCAAAAUGAUGACUUGGGACACCAUAAAUCUCUCAAGUGGCGACUCUGAAAUUCUCUUAAAUAAUUGAAUCCCGUUUCAAUUGUCCUUUGCUUGAAAAAACUCGCUUAUCUACGCCCUUUGCCGGGUUGUAGUAGCCAAAAGGAGGUGUGACAGAUGUGACAUGGAUCUAUGCGAUUCAUGUGAUGCUGCUGGCUGUGGGCCACAAGGUAGUAAGGCAGGUGGACUAUAUGUCGGACGCAUAGUCCUAUGGCCCUGUGACGAAAUACUCGAGGUUUGCACAAAGGUGUAGGGCAUGACAUGUUGUGGCAGCUCAAAAAUGCCCUAGGGUAAAGGCUGUGGCAUAGGCAUAGGCACAGCAGAGAAGGGUGGAAAGAUUGAUGAGUAGUUCUUCUACCCUCCUCUUUACUUUCCUAGCCUUUUCUUGACCCCGAGAACUAUUACCUUCAUUGUUACCUCGACCAUUGCCUGUCAUUUGCAUAAUAUCAUACAUAUUUAGAUUGAAACAUAUAAAGAAACUAUCUAUAAGCGAGAGUUAUUGAAGAAACUAACUUUUUAAAGCUUAUCGACGUAUUCUUCCUCGUCAGAGAAUUCUUCUUCCUCACUAGUUUGAGCUUCAUCAGUUUAUUCUUCUUCCUCGUUUUCUAUACUUAUUACUUCAUUUAUAUCUACUACUUCCAAUAUGUGUUCAUGAUGUUCUAAAUCAUUCUCUAAAAGUUCUUCUACUAUUUGGUGAACACGGGAGAUAUCGUUUUGAUAUGCAACAUCCAACACAUUCUCGACAUUGACCCUACCUACAGGCUUAGUUUUGAUUACUACCCAGCAAUUGGACUUAUUCCGCCAAAAAGGAUAAGGAGCAUAAUACACUUUCCUAACAUUAUGUGCAAUUACGAAAGAUCAUAGCGAUCAUACUCCCUUGUAUGAUUAACCCCAAUUAUGUUGUA
rnacentral:lncRNA from 1 species